rnacentral:rRNA from 1 species
GAUGGUCUUUCGCCCUAUCCGGUAUUUUACUGUGAUAGUGGGUUUGGUCGCUCGCAUUUUUAACUAGCUAGAGUAAUGGUGGACCGCACUUCUCCCUUAGUAGGACGUUGCGACCUGUUAAAAAAUACUUUAAGUAUGGUUAAAAUGUCUGUAUUUAAGAUGUGCUGAAAAGUAUAUUUUAAUUACAGUUUUAAUCAUUAUAUACAGAGUAUUUUAAUUUUAACAGUAACAAAUGAUGGUGUCGAGCCACUUGAUAUUAUUAAUUUCUUUUAAUUAGUAAUAGAAAGUGUUUUUGUCUUUUUACAAGUGGGUUGAUUUAUAGUAUUGGUCGGACUUUAUGGUCCGUCUUAUUAUAUCACCUACUGUUUGUAAAUUUAGACUUGAACUGUGCUUACAAC